rnacentral:rRNA from 1 species
AGAGUUUGAUCAUGGCUCAGGAUAAACGCUGGCGGCGCACAUAAGACAUGCAAGUCGAACGAACUUAAUACUUAGCUUGCUAGGUAAGCGGUAGUGGCGGACUGGUGAGUAACACGUAAGGAACCUGCCUAUUAGAGAGGAAUACCUUUGAGAAAUCAGAGCUAAUACCUCAUAUGCUUAAUCAUUGCAUGAUGAAAGAGGGAAAGGAGCAAUCCGCUAAUAGAUGGCCUUGCGGCUGAUUAACUAGUUGGUGAGAUAACAGCCCACCAAGGUAACGAUCAGUAGCCGGACUGAGAGGUUGAACGGCCACAUUGGGACUGAGAUACGGCCCAGACUCCUACGGGAGGCAGCAGUCGGGAAUAUUGCGCAAUGGAGGAAACUCUGACGCAGUGACGCCGCGUAUAGGAAGAAGGUUUUCGGAUUGUAAACUAUUGUCGAUAGGGAAGAGAAAGGACAGUACCUAUCAAGAAAGCUCCGGCUAACUACGUGCCAGCAGCCGCGGUAAUACGUAGGGAGCAAGCGUUAUCCGGAAUUAUUGGGUGUAAAGGGUGCGUAGACGGGAUGUCAAGUUAGUUGUGAAAUGCCAUAGCUCAACUGUGGAACUGCAACUAAACUAACAUUCUUGAGUACAGGAGAGGAAAGUGGAAUUCCUAGUGUAGCGGUGAAAUGCGUAGAUAUUAGGAGGAAUACCGGUGGCGAAGGCGACUUUCUGGACUGCAACUGACGUUGAGGCACGAAAGUGUGGGGAGCAAACAGGAUUAGAUACCCUGGUAGUCCACACUGUAAACGAUGGAUACUAG